rnacentral:rRNA from 1 species
UGUAGCUUGACAUUGGGUCUUGGUACUACAUGUACAGGAUAGGUGGGUGGCUUUGAAACCAGGACGCCAGUUUGGGCGGAGCCAUCCUUGGAAUACCACCCUUGUAGUACUGGGACUCUAACCAUAGGCCAUGAAUCUGGUCUUGGGACACUGUCAGGUGGGCAGUUUGACUGGGGCGGUCGCCUCCCAAAAGGGAACGGAGGCGCUCAAAGGUUCUCUCAGUACGGUCGGAAAUCGUACGUAGAGUGUAAAGGCAAAAGAGAGCUUGAUUGCAAGACAUACAGGUCGAGCAAGGAUGAAAAUCGGACUUAGUGAUCCGGUGGUUCUGCGUGGAAGGGCCAUCGCUCAACGGAUAAAAGCUACCC